CCCUUAGAUGUUCUGGGCCGCACGCGCGCUACAAUGGCAGACUCAGCGAGUUACCUCUGUCGAAAGGCACAGGGAAUCUUUACAGUAUCUGCCGUGAUGGGGAUAGACCCUUGUAAUUUUUGGUCUUCAACGAGGAAUUCCUAGUAAACGCAAGUCAUUAACUUGCAUUGAUUACGUCCCUGCCCUUUGUACACACCGCCCGUCGCACCUACCGAUUGAAUGGUCCGGUGAAGUCCUCGGACCCAGUUGAACCUCGAGUUGAACAGGGAAAGUUGACUAAAUCUUACCAUUUAGAGGAAGUAAAAGUCGUAACA
rnacentral:rRNA from 1 species